rnacentral:rRNA from 1 species
GACGAACGCUGGCGGCGUGCUUAACACAUGCAAGUCGAACGGAAAGGCCCUGCUUUUGUGGGGUGCUCGAGUGGCGAACGGAUGAGUAACACGUGAGUAACCUGCCCUUGACUUUGGGAUAACUUCAGGAAACUGGGGCUAAUACCGGAUAGGAGCUCCUGCUGCAUGGUGGGGGUUGGAAAGUUUCGGCGGUUGGGGAUGGACUCGCGGCUUAUCAGCUUGUUGGUGGGGUAGUGGCUUACCAAGGCUUUGACGGGUAGCCGGCCUGAGAGGGUGACCGGCCACAUUGGGACUGAGAUACGGCCCAGACUCCUACGGGAGGCAGCAGUGGGGAAUAUUGCACAAUGGGCGGAAGCCUGAUGCAACAACGCCGCGUGCGGGAUGACGGCCUUCGGGUUGUAAACCGCUUUCGCCUGUGACGAAGCGUGAGUGACGGUAAUGGGUAAAGAAGCACCGGCUAACUACGUG